rnacentral:rRNA from 1 species
UACGGAGGAUGCAAGCGUUACCCGGAAUGAUUGGGCGUAAAGCGUCCGCAGGUGGCUGUGUAAGUCUGCUGUUAAAGAGUCUAGCUCAACUAGAUACAAGCAGUGGAAACUACACGGCUAGAGUACGUUCGGGGCAGAGGGAAUUCCUGGUGUAGCGGUGAAAUGCGUAGAGAUCAGGAAGAACACCGGUGGCGAAGGCGCUCUGCUAGGCCGUAACUGACACUGAGGGACGAAAGCUAGGGGAGCGAAUGGG